GAUAUGGCUCAGGAUGAACGCUAGCUACAGGCUUAACACAUGCAAGUCGAGGGGCAGCAUUUUAGUUUGCUUGCAAACUAAAGAUGGCGACCGGCGCACGGGUGAGUAACACGUAUCCAACCUGCCGAUAACUCGGGGAUAGCCUUUCGAAAGAAAGAUUAAUAUCCGAUAGUAUAUUUUCUCCGCAUGGUGAGAAUAUUAAAGAAUUUCGGUUAUCGAUGGGGAUGCGUUCCAUUAGUUUGUUGGCGGGG
rnacentral:rRNA from 1 species